rnacentral:rRNA from 1 species
UGGGUAACCUGCCUCAAAGAGGGGAAUAGCCUCCCGAAAGGGAGAUUAAUACCGCAUAAUAUGUUUAAGUCGCAUGACUUUAACAUCAAAGGAUUUUCUUUUAAGAAAUUCCACUUUGAGAUGGACCCGCGGCGCAUUAGCUAGUUGGUGAGGUAACGGCUCGCCAAGGCAACGAUGCGUAGCCGACCUGAGAGGGUGAUCGGCCACAUUGGAACUGAGACACGGUCCAGACCUCCGUAGGGACG